UUCCUACGGGAGGCAGCAGUGGGGAAUAUUGGACAAUGGGCGAAAGCCUGAUCCAGCAAUGCCGCGUGAGUGAUGAAGGCCUUAGGGUUGUAAAGCUCUUUUGUGCGGGAAGAUAAUGACGGUACCGCAAGAAUAAGCCCCGGCUAACUUCGUGCCAGCAGCCGCGGUAAUACGAAGGGGGCUAGCGUUGCUCGGAAUCACUGGGCGUAAAGGGUGCGUAGGCGGGUCUUUAAGUCAGGGGUGAAAUCCUGGAGCUCAACUCCAGAACUGCCUUUGAUACUGAAGAUCUUGAGUUCGGGAGAGGUGAGUGGAACUGCGAGUGUAGAGGUGAAAUUCGUAGAUAUUCGCAAGAACACCAGUGGCGAAGGCGGCUCACUGGCCCGAUACUGACGCUGAGGCACGAAAGCGUGGGGAGCAAACAGGAUUAGAUACCCCAGUAGUCAA
rnacentral:rRNA from 1 species